GCCGAAAUAGCUCAGUUGGGGGAGCGUUAGACUGUGGAUCGAAAGGCCCUGGUUCGAUCCCGGGUGUCGGCA
rnacentral:tRNA from 1 species